AGAGGGCGUGGCCCUUCAUUUGAACAAACUUGAAUCCCCUUCACCAAAGGAUACUUUGUGGUAAGUUUGGUUGAAAUUGGCCCAGUGGUUCUUGAGAAGAAGUCGAAAAUGUUAAAAACUGACAGACAGACAGAGGGACAGCUAUACAGUUGAGAGGUACAUUGUGCAUUUUACGGAAGGUGCGGGGUUAUCAUUUUGCUUUGUGGGGAUAUUACUAGUACAGUGGUGACUUGAGAGGUUACAUUAGGAAUUCAAACAAAUAGUAUAUUGUGGGGUUAAAGAUCUACAUUUGUGGGGUUAAAGAUCUAUAUUUGUGGGGUUAAAGAUCUAUAUUUGUGAGGUUAAAGAUCUAUAUUUGUGGGGUUAAAGAUCUAUGUUUGUGGGGUUAAAGAUUAAUUAUUUAAUAUCAAGUCAACUUUACAAGCAACUAAUUAUAAGUACUUAAAAUUGUUACUGUU